CUUAUGGGCUCUGGAGAUAAUGUUGAUUGGGAUUCUAAUUUCAUAGGCUUCAGAUCAACUUCUCUAGUGAACGGUAGAUCCAGAGUGUUCCUGAUAUCAGAAGUUGGGGCACUUACACACUGAUUAUUACAGAAUACUGAGCAAAGUUCCUUUUGAUGUCUUCCCAUCCCUGUACAAUCAGUAUCUCUUCCAUUCUCUACCCAUUUUAUCCAAAGCUGAAAUUAAUGUUGGAAUGUGGACUGCAAACACACUUGUCUGUUACUAAUGCCUGGAGGAAGGUCUUAAAACCACCCUCUCCAUUUCACAUGAUUCCAGACCUUUCUUCUACUCCGCUUAUCCUUAACAUUUAAAUGGGAAGGACGUAAAAAUGGCUCAUGACUAAAUCCAGGAAAUACAGGUUGACUUAUGAAGAAAUGGGUGUGGAACAGAACAUUGAGUUAUCCAGAUUAGAGAACUGAAGGAAAAUCAUCCAAGGUCACAGAGAUGGUGUGUGUCCCAACCUGGAUUCAAAUCAGGCCUGUCUUUACUCCAAGCAUAUUAAGCCACCACACUCCAAUGAUUAAAAAAAAAUUUUUUUACAAAGAAAAAUUUUUUGGUAGCUACUAGCCAGUCAUUGUUGUCUUUUGCAUUCUAAAAAAUGGUCAUGGUGUAAAAUGAUGAAAUAC